AGUAAAAUAUUUAAUAGUUUUUUUUGGGAUUUUAUAUUAAUAAAAGUAAUUUUAAGUGGAGAUGUUGUUUAAGUAUAGUUUUAGAAAAAAUUUUUUUGUUUAUAGUUUAUUUGUAUUGUAGAAGAAUAUUGAAAUAGGUGUGAAAUUAUUAUUUUAGGAAAGUAGAUUUAAUAUUUGUACCUUGUGUAUUAGGGUUGAUUAAUUAAUUACUAUAAAUUUAGUACUCUCGAAUUUAAAAGAGUUAAUAGAUUAUUAUAGUUGAUGUGGAAUAAUCAUUAUAAAUAAUUUAUUGGUAGUGAUAUGUUAUUCGGUUUUAAAGAUAUCUGGUUUUCUAAGAUUUGAAUUGAAUUCAUUUAUUGUUUAGUAAUCUUUAGUAACGUAUUUUUUAUGGGACAAUAAAAACGAUUUGGGGGUUAAGUUUUGAAUCAUGAAUUAUAACUUUCUAUAAUCAAGGCGGGAACGUGGAUGGUUGGCCUUGAAUUAGCUCUCGAGUUAAGUGUAUGAUAACUUACUUAGAAUGGGGGCUAUUUUAUAGAAGGUUUAAUUAUUUUAUUAGAAUAAUUUAAUUAAUAAAAUUUUAUUUGUGAUAAUGAUUGAAUUAGUAUAUAUAUAUAUAUUAUGAUGUUUAUAACUUAUUUAAUGUUAAUUCAUUAUAAGGAAUUAGGCAAUAUUAAUACCCGCCUGUUUAACAAAAACAUGUCUUUUUGAUUAUAAUCUAAAGUCUGGCCUGCCCACUGAUAAUAUGAAGGGCCGCGGUAAUUUGACCGUGCAAAGGUAGCAUAAUCAUUAGUCUUUUAAUUGAAGGCUGGUAUGAAUGGUUUGACGAGGUAUUAACUGUCUCAUAGUGAUAGGUUGAAUUUAACUUUUAAGUUAAAAGGCUUAAAUAAUUUUAGAGGACGAGAAGACCCUAUAGAGCUUUAUAAUUGUGUUAUUAAAUUGCAUUUUGGUUAAAAUUUUUGUAUUUAGUAAGGAAUUAUUUGGUUGGGGUGACUAGAAGACGCGAGAAACUCUUCUUAAAAAUAACAUUAAUGUAUGGAUUUAUUUGAUCCGCUAUUAACGAUUAUAAGAUAAAGUUACCUUAGGGAUAACAGCGUAAUUUUCUUUGAGAGCUCUUAUCGACGAGAACGAUUGCGACCUCGAUGUUGGAUUAAGGUAUAUUACUGGAAGCAGCUUUUCAAUUAAUAGGUCUGUUCGACCUUUGAACCCUUACAUGAUCUGAGUUCAGACCGGCGUGAGCCAGGUCGGUUUCUAUCCUUAAAUAAUGUAAUUAUUUUAGUACGAAAGGACCAAAUAAUUGGAAUAUUUAUUUUUAAGCAUUGACUACUAUUAAUAGGUUAGGG
rnacentral:rRNA from 1 species